AAAGCUUUGAGAAAUUCAAGGGCUGAUUUGGUUGAUUUUGUAUUGGGAUAGAGUUGAGUGAGCCAAGGCAACCGAAGCAAAACAACAGUGUUUAAGUGUAUGCUCAGCUACUAUGGUUUGAUGGUGGUAGGAGGAAGGUGGAAGAUGAGUAGUAAUAUUCCAUGGCUGUCCCAGGAGAGCAAGAGGAA